rnacentral:rRNA from 1 species
GACGAACGCUGGCGGCGUGCUUAACACAUGCAAGUCGAACGGUAAGGCCCUUCGGGGUACACGAGUGGCGAACGGGUGAGUAACACGUGGGUGAUCUGCCCUGCACUUCGGGAUAAGCCUGGGAAACUGGGUCUAAUACCGGAUAGGACCCUGGGAUGCAUGUCCUGGGGUGGAAAGCUUUUGCGGUGUGGGAUGGGCCCGCGGCCUAUCAGCUUGUUGGUGGGGUGAUGGGCUACCAAGGCGACGACGGGUAGCCGGCCUGAGAGGGUGUACGGCCACACUGGGACUGAGAUACGGCCCAGACUCCUACGGGAGGCAGCAGUGGGGAAUAUUGCACAAUGGGCGCAAGCCUGAUGCAGCGACGCCGCGUGAGGGAUGACGGCCUUCGGGUUGUAAACCUCUUUCAGCACCGACGAAGCGCAAGUGACGGUAGGUGCAGAAGAAGGACCGGCCAACUACGUGCCAGCCGCCGCCGUAA